rnacentral:rRNA from 1 species
UACGUAGGGUGCGAGCGUUGUCCGGAAUUACUGGGCGUAAAGAGCUCGUAGGCGGUUUGUCGCGUCGUCCGUGAAAACUUGGGGCUCAACCCCAAGCUUGCGGGCGAUACGGGCAGACUUGAGUACUGCAGGGGAGACUGGAAUUCCUGGUGUAGCGGUGAAAUGCGCAGAUAUCAGGAGGAACACCGGUGGCGAAGGCGGGAUCCUGGGCCAGUACUGACGCUGAGGAGCGAAAGCGUGGGGAGCAAACAGG